AUCCAUUUUUAAUAAAAUAAAUAGCUUUUAACACAAUUCCUUGUUGUCCUUGUCCCUCGUCAAUAAUAUUAUCUAUGGUGGGUACCCACUUCAACAGAUAACAGCGAUAUCUCCCCACAUUAUCAUCAUCGCCGCCGCCGCCGCCGUCGUCGUAUCCGCGUAAAGCCGCGUAUUCACGUCUUGUCACAUUUUCCGUUACGCCGUAACACCGUUCCACCAGCUGACGGUAAAUAUUUUGGCCGCAUCAAAGGAUCAUUACGCGCAAAUGUUCAAAGUGUGUACGCGACUUAUCGUUGGUAACUAAUUUUUCAAAUUGUUGUCUAUUAUUAUUGUGUAUUCGAUAUAUCGCGUAUUGUAGGAUUAUCGUGGACUACAACAACUGUGCCCGUUGUAUUCUUGUAUACGUUUGACUCGAUGCCACAGGGAAAACUGUUACAGUUUUGUAGCAAUAAAUGUGAAAUUGUGAGAUACUGCCCGAGCACCUAAGAUGAUUGACAAAAACAUCACUGGUGUCAAAACAUUCAUUUCAAUGUCAUAUGGUGCGAAAAAAGAAUUAAUUUUGUGUAAUUAAUUUUAUUGGGUACAUAUAAUAUUAUAAUGUGUGAAUUUUAUAAAUAAAUUGUGGUUAUUAGUAC